rnacentral:rRNA from 1 species
AGUGAACGCUGGCGGUAGGCCUAACACAUGCAAGUCGAACGGCAGCACAGUAAGAGCUUGCUCUUACGGGUGGCGAGUGGCGGACGGGUGAGGCAUACAUCGGAAUCUACUUUUUCGUGGGGGAUAACGUAGGGAGACUUACGCUAAUACCGCAUACGACCUACGGGUGAAAGCAGGGGAUCUUCGGACCUUGCGCGAUUGAAUGAGCCGAUGUCGGAUUAGCUAGUUGGCGGGGUAAAGGCCCACCAAGGCGACGAUCCGUAGCUGGUCUGAGAGGAUGGUCAGCCACACUGGAACUGAGACACGGUCCAGACUCCUACGGGAGGCAGCAGUGGGGAAUAUUGGACAAUGGGCGCAAGCCUGAUCCAGCCAUACCGCGUGGGUGAAGAAGGCCUUCGGGUUGUAAAGCCCUUUUGUUGGGAAAGAAAAGCAGCAGGUUAAUACCCCGCUGUUCUGACGGUACCCAAAGAAUAAGCACCGGCUAACUUCGUG